rnacentral:rRNA from 1 species
UACGUAGGGUGCAAGCGUUAAUCGGAAUUACUGGGCGUAAAGCGUGCGCAGGCGGUUUUGUAAGACUGUCGUGAAAUCCCCGGGCUUAACCUGGGAAUGGCGAUGGUGACUGCAAGGCUAGAGUUUGGCAGAGGGGGGUGAGAAUUCCACGUGUAGCAGUGAAAUGCGUAGAGAUGUGGAGGAACACCGAUGGCGAAGGCAGCCCCCUGGGUCAAAACUGACGCUCAUGCACGAAAGCGUGGGGGAGCAAACAGG